rnacentral:sRNA from 1 species
GCUGGGGGUGAUGGCGCACACCUGUAAUCCCAGCUAGGGAGGCUGAGGCAGGAGGAUGGAGAGUUCAAAGCGAGCUUCAGCGAAAGUGAGGUGCUUAGCAAUUCAGUGAGACCCUGUCUCUA